rnacentral:rRNA from 1 species
ACGAACGCUGGCGGCGUGCUUAACACAUGCAAGUCGAACGGAAAGGCCCUGCUUUUGUGGGGUGCUCGAGUGGCGAACGGGUGAGUAACACGUGAGUAACCUGCCCUUGACUUUGGGAUAACUUCAGGAAACUGGGGCUAAUACCGGAUAGGAGCUCCUGCUGCAUGGUGGGGGUUGGAAAGUUUCGGCGGUUGGGGAUGGACUCGCGGCUUAUCAGCUUGUUGGUGGGGUAGUGGCUUACCAAGGCUUUGACGGGUAGCCGGCCUGAGAGGGUGACCGGCCGCAUUGGGACUGAGAUACGGCCCAGACUCCUACGGGAGGCAGCAGUGGGGAAUAUUGCACAAUGGGCGGAAGCCUGAUGCAGCAACGCCGCGUGCGGGAUGACGGCCUUCGGGUUGUAAACCGCUUUCGCCUGUGACGAAGCGUGAGUGACGGUAAUGGGUAAAGAAGCACCGGCUAACUACGUG